rnacentral:rRNA from 1 species
GAUGAACGCUGGCGGCGUGCCUAAUACAUGCAAGUCGAGCGAAUGGAUUAAGAGCUUGCUCUUAUGAAGUUAGCGGCGGACGGGUGAGUAACACGUGGGUAACCUGCCCAUAAGACUGGGAUAACUCCGGGAGACCGGGGCUAAUACCGGAUAAUAUUUUGAACUGCAUGGUUCAAUAUUGAAAGGCGGCUUCGGCUGUCACUUAUGGAUGGACCCGCGUCGCAUUAGCUAGUUGGGGAGGUAACGGCUCACCAAGGCAACGAUGCGUAGCCGACCUGAGAGGGUGAUCGGCCACACGUGGACUGGGACACGGCCCAGACUCCUACGGGAGGCAGCAGUAGGGAAUCUUCGGCAAUGGGCGAAAGUCUGACGGAGCAACGCCGCGUGAGUGAGGAAGGCUUUCGGGUCGUAAAACUCUGUUGUUAGGGAAGAACAAGUGCUAGUUGAAUAAGCUGGCACCUUGACGGUACCUAACCAGAAAGCCACGGCUAACUACGUGCCAGCCGCCGCGGUAA